CUUGCCGUGGCCGCUCAUCGCGGGUGGGAGGUACACCACAUGGACGUCAAGUCGGCGUUUCUCAACGGCGACCUUAACGAGGAGGUGUACGUCUCCCAGCCUCCAGGGUUCGUUGCCAAGAACCACGAGCAGGGCGUGUACAGGCUACACAAGGCCCCGUACGGUCUCCGGCAAACCCCAAGGGCAUGGAACCCCAAGCUCGAUGCAAGCAUCGCAUCCCUUGGGUUCUCACGCAGCGCUUCUGAGCAUGGCGUGUACUCGCGUGGCACUGCGAACACGCUGCUCAUCGUCGGCAUCUCCGUCGACGACCUGGUCAUCGCCGGGGCAGAGCCCGAAGAGGUUCGACGCUUCAAGGGAGAGAUGCAUCGUCUCUUCAGCAUGAGCGACCUCGGGCUGCUUCGGUACUACCUCGGAAUAGAGGUGAACCAGGAGGGUGGUCGCAUCACGAUCACGCAGGCGGCCUACGCCACCAAGAUGCUCGAGCGAGCAGGCAUGAAGGACUGCUAUGUUGUGCAUGCUCCAAUGGAGGCACGGCUGAAGCUUAGCAAUGAUAGCUUUGAGAAGGCGGUGGAUGCUACGCUCUACCGCCGCAUCAUCGGGAGCCUAAGGUAUCUCGAGCACACCCGACCGGACAUCACGUUCGUUGUCGGGUACCUGAAUAGGUUCAUGGAAGCCCCGGCAAGCGAUCACCUCGCUGCCGUCAAGCACCUGCUCCGGUACAUCGCGGGUACACUCACGCAUGGAUGCGUGUAUCGUCGUGGCGACGACGAGAGCUUGGUCGGGUACAGCGACUCCGACCAUGCUGGUGACGUGGAC
rnacentral:rRNA from 1 species